AAGUGACUGUGAUAAAAAAAAAAAGGACCUUUAAUGUGUGCAGCAGAGUUAUUGCUAAGGCAUCAUAUUGAGGAGACACACUGAUCAGCACUCCACCAUUCAAGAGACUUGAUACUGAUCCUAGAGAAAUAAUUACUUCCAGUUCUGAAGGAUAUUAAAAUUCUCCAAUUGAAACUUCACCACCAGAUUCCAUCACCCUACUUUAAUGACCUUAAAGCCAGGUCACACUACCAUCUAUGGAUAUAUCAUCCUACCUUAAAGCCAGGUCAAGAUCUACUGAACCUCAACCUCAAGUUCCCAUGCUCCAUUUGUAUAUUCUGGACAUUGUAACGAGCGGACCUGAAUUUUGAAAACUUAAUCUAAUGAGUUUGACAAUUUUCAUUUGUCUAGUGCAAUGACCACUAAGACAUACAAUUUUUCAAGUGAUGUAGGCUACUUUAUAAGUAAGCUAAUAUCAAGAUAUUUUGUUUAUGUACUGUACUUAGGAAACAUGCUCAUUUCAGGGCUUUUUAUUUUGAUUACUGCAUUUGAAAAAUUCUUUGAGGAAGAGGGUGGUGCUUUAGUGUAUUAGUAUUGAAUAGUUUGAUAAGGAGGGAUGUGCUGUAGUAUAAUAGUAUUGAUCUAGGAAUGUAUGAAUGAGUAGCUUAUG